UACAGAGGGUGCUAGCGUUGUCCGGAAUCAUUGGGCGUAAAGCGCGUGUAGGCGGCCCGGUAAGUCCGCUGUGAAAGUCGGGGGCUCAACCCUCGGAUGCCGGUGGAUACUGUCGGGCUCGAGUACGGAAGAGGCGAGUGGAAUUCCUGGUGUAGCGGUGAAAUGCGCAGAUAUCAGGAGGAACACCAAUUGCGAAGGCAGCUCGCUGGGACGGUACUGACGCUGAGGCGCGAAAGCGUGGGGAGCGAACAGG
rnacentral:rRNA from 1 species